rnacentral:rRNA from 1 species
UACGUAGGGUGCAAGCGUUGUCCGGAAUUAUUGGGCGUAAAGAGCGUGUAGGCGGCCAGGUAGGUCUGCUGUGAAAACUCGAGGCUCAACCUCGAGACGUCGGCGGAAACCAUCUGGCUAGAGUCCGGAAGAGGAGAGUGGAAUUCCUGGUGUAGCGGUGAAAUGCGCAGAUAUCAGGAAGAACACCCGCGGCGAAGGCGGCUCUCUGGGACGGUACUGACGCUGAGACGCGAAAGCGUGGGGAGCGAACAGG